AAGAGUACUACUAAUAGGCAGAAGUAUCAACCCCUAUCUCUAGAUCGAUGGUACGGAACAAAAUUAGAUGCAUGUAGGGUGAGCGCCAUGUUGAGAUAGCACUACUUUUUGAUAAUUGAUUAUCUCUCACUUAAUUCGCUCUCUUUCACAGAGUCUACUAUGUUUCGGAAAACAUAUUAAUAGUAUUGUUUCUAAAAUGUUGAUUAAGAUCGUAUCGUUUCUUGAGGCUGAAGCUGUGUUGCAGAUUGAUGAUGGAAUUCGAACAGGCUUUCCGAGGACAAGGUUGUGCGGUUUUUGUUCAGUUCUACAUGGAAAAUGAUGGGACACACCCUCCUUUGGAUUUGUGGGAGCUGGCUUCAAAUUAUGUCUAAGUCUUUUUAGCCAAGGCAAUGUGUAGUUCAUGAUAUGCGAGAACAUUUUUUGCGUAAUGCCAUCCAAGAAUGUCAUGUGUGCUGGGGUC